rnacentral:rRNA from 1 species
GACGAACGCUGGCGGCGUGCCUAAUACAUGCAAGUUGAGCGAUGAAGUUUGGUGCUUGCGCCAAUUUUAAGAGCAGCGCACGGGUGAGUAACGCGUGGGGAAUCUGCCUUUGAGCGGGGGACAACUUUUGGAAACGAAUGCUAAUACCGCAUAACAACUUUAAACAUAAGUUUUAAGUUUGAAAGAUGCAAUUGCAUCACUCAAAGAUGAUCCCGCGUUGUAUUAGCUAGUUGGUGAGGUAAAGGCUCACCAAGGCGAAGAUACAUAGCCAAGCUGUGAGGGUGAUCGGCCCCAUUGUGAGUCAGACACGGCCCCAAGUCCCCCGGGGGGCGGCGGUGGAGGAACUUCGGCACUAGGGGAGCGUCUCACCGAGCGACGCGGCGUGUGUGUAGAGGGGUUUCGGGUCGUAAAAAGCUGUUGGUAGAGAAGAGCGUUCGUGCGAGUGGAAAGCUCAUGCAGUGACGGUAACUAACCAGAAAGGGACGGCUAACUACGUG